rnacentral:lncRNA from 1 species
GAACGUGGAGUCUCUUAUAUGGACUUACAAUACCAUUAAGAAAAAUUAAGCAAGAGAAUUAAGCAGGAAGAGGGGAAUCGCUGGAAUUUAUAGAAAAUUCCUCACUGCAGAAAUUAUACAAAAGGAUAGAAAGGGCGAACAUCCAGUAAACUCCUAUAGGAAUCAUAGCCACGGCCAUACUGGGGAGGUAAAUAAAAACAUAACUGCCAAAAAGCCAACACAACCAACCGCAAAGAAGCGUGAUAUAAGCAUGCUUCAUAUCCAUCCUAAACUUAUCGGAUAGCUGAAUCAGACCUAUCCCACCGGUGAACAACGAUAUGGUGAAUAACGUACGACAUGUAUAACCAUACGUCAUGAUCAGGAUGAUCCACCAAAAGAUAAGGAGAACAAAAUAACGCCAGUAUAGAAAACUCCGCAAACACAACCUGAGGAAUCCUCUCUUUGUCUGUAGUGAAAUCCUUGUAGCAAUUACUGGAGGGAGUUGUCCGGACGAGGUAGUCCAAGUGGAAGGACGGGCCUGUGGUGGCAACCACCAUCCGGGUUCGAUCCCCCAUGCGGAAACUACCCUGCCUCAUCUGGACACCAAAGCGGGUACUGGGCUUUCGGGCUCAGGGAAAAACCUCCCGGGUGAAGCUGGUCUGCUGCCUGUACUAAUAAUAAUAAUUAUUAUCUAAAAUUUAAAAUAUUAAUUUUAAAAUAAAAAAAUAAUUCUUAUAGAUAUUAUGUUGCUAUCCUAAAAUUUUAAAAUUCAAAAACAGAAAAUACAUAACUAGGUUUUUAAUUUUAUACUAAAUGUUUUACCAGCAGCACUUGUGGGUAUAAAAUUUAACAUUUAGAUCUAAAAAUCCGAUCGGACCCAAAAACACAAAAAAAAACUUCAAAAAGAAUUUGUAACUGCACAAAGCCAUACCAUGCAUGGAACAAACCCAACCCCAAACGAAGUAGCCGUUAACAGAACACAUACAUCCUUAAACAACUCAAACUGUAACCCUUGUCUUCACUUCAUUAUACUUCUCCUCCUCGCAAUAACGAGAGAUCAGCAAACUCGUAUCUCUCUGGCUCCCACUCGUUGAAUAUAUCUUGUGCUCCUUUUACAUCGUCUAGCUUGAACAAAGAUGUAAUCACACUUCUAUACCCUUCAUCAUUACUCAUGCUCCCCACGUUAUCUUUCUUAAUUGUACUCAUUCCACAGACGGUAAACUUCUUUUUUUAGUCGAUGUUAUCUCUACAGCCUUUAGUGUUGACCCUUCUGUUUCAGAAG